UCACGCCAAAGUCACAGCUGGCUUUGGGGAAAGGCGGGGUCGCAGAGCUGGGGCAGUUCUGUUCAGUUCCUCCGAGCUCCGGUUUCUUCCACUCCUUGCUUUGCCUAGCUGCGUUGCAAAACCGCCUCUUCUGGACUAAUCCGAGCAAGGCAACAUCGCAAGUGCCAAUUGUUUGCUAACGCGGCGGAGAAGCAUUCCUUCCGCCACAUGCCAUUGCUGCACCCCGCAGCACCCCCUCCCAGUCCCCCUGCCCCAUCCUUGCCCCACCCCAGCGCCCACACCGGCUUUCCCUGAGACACCUCUGCCAGGGUCUCUUGUCAAGCCUGUCCUGGCUGCACCGCAGCUCUCGAGAGCCUUCCCCCUCUUCCUGCUUGGCUGCAGCAGCCACUCGCUUGCAAACACCCGUUGUCAACACUGCUCUCUCACUGGUUCCCCGCAGACCCCGGCCUCACGCCACCCCAGUGGAAGAGCAACAAAGCUGGAAUUGCAGUCUCGGUUCGGUCACUGUUGUCCCACCCUGGUUUUCAGGUCUUCUUCCUCUUUUCGUGAAAAGGGAAGCUCACAGCGUCCACCCAGUCAAUAUGACAACUUGGCUCCUGGGAUUGAUGCUAGUAAAUACAUUGACCUCUCCUCUCCUUGAACUGCUGUGCAACUCCCUCACCAUUUAAGCCCCAGUUCAGAAAGGGAUUCAAAUGAGGUUGUUAUGCUGCCCUCGUCACCACAGUAUGUGAAUGCCUUCCAGUAGUGCAUAAAGUGAUAUGAAGUCUGUCACACGUGGGCCAUUCUCUUUCCCAUCUUUUCCCGGGGGGAAGAAUUGUGAAUUCAAUGUAGUGUUUUGUAUUGGUAGGAUUUUUUUUAAAUGUACAGGCUGCUUUCUAUAUGUAUAUGUUAGAGAAGAUAAC